UACGAAGGGGGCUAGCGUUGUUCGGAAUUACUGGGCGUAAAGCGCACGUAGGCGGACUAUUAAGUCAGGGGUGAAAUCCCGGGGCUCAACCCCGGAACUGCCUUGAUACUGGUAGUCUCGAGUCCGGAAGAGGUGAGUGGAAUUCCGAGUGUAGAGGUGAAAUUCGUAGAUAUUCGGAGGAACACCAGUGGCGAAGGCGGCUCACUGGUCCGGUACUGACGCUGAGGUGCGAAAGCGUGGGGAGCAACAGG
rnacentral:rRNA from 1 species